CAAAAAUCUUCAUUUACUGUUUUGUUGAGAAUCUGAGAUAACUCAUGAAGUUCUAAGGCUUUCCCAACUUCACCAUCCUCCAUGUGAAGCAAAUCUUAUGGAGCUGAUCAGUAAUAGAAGCAGGAUAAAACACAGGAAUCUGUGAGGAGUCAGGUCCUGUAAACCAGCCAUCAUCAGCAACAUCACGUAAUGAAGUCCUAGAACUGCAGGCUUCUCUGCUUCAGUGCUCUUGGGAGAGGUGAAUGGAAAACACUUGAAAGAAACCUGCUGCAAGCAGUGAGGGAGUUUGUCAUAUAUGGA
ensembl:lncRNA